CAUAUGGUGGUAUUUUGCUUUUAAACCAAUCUGAAGGACUUUAUCUUUUAUUAGGGGAGACUUAAACCGUUUAUAUUUCCUGUCAUAACUGAUAGGUGUGGUCUUAUUCCUGUCUUUUUGUUUUAUGCUUGCUCUCCUUUUUACUUUCUUGGGGCUUCCUUUGUUUCCUGUCUUUUUUUUAUAUGGGCUAUCUCAUCUUCCUACUUUGUCUCCCAUCUAGUGAUUUAAAAGCUGAAUAUCUGCUUUUAACCAGUCCUAGGUGAACCUAAAAAAAUGAUCCCUGAGCUCCAAUAGUGACAGCAGUGUAAUGGUGGGUGAGCAGCCAGGCCACUGAGCGUGGAAGUCAAUAAAAUCGGUCCUAAACCUCUGAGGAAUAGUGAUCGCUGCUCCCUCAGACACCUCAUCGCCACUGUUUCAAGCCCAGGCUCCUUAAAUCUGUGUCACAUUCCUGUGCUUCACACUUGGGUCCCAGCCUACCUAUCUGGCCUGAUCUCCUGCCAGCCUCAGCUAAGUAUCAUGUGCUUCACGUACAUCAAACUACUAACCAUCCCUGAGACCAGAGAGAUUCUUAAACAUCUCCACCCCUUGGUUCAGGAUGCUGCCUCUUUGCCUACAAACAUCCUUCAAGACCUACUGCAAAGCAGUGUGCGUGUGUGUGUGUGUGUGUGUGUGUGUCUACUCGCGCACGCGUUAUGUGUGUGUUGCUUUCUCCUUCAACUGCCCUGUUCUUCCAUAGAUAUCAUUAUGUAGCAGAACUCACUGGACAGACCUACCUGGGUUCAAGUUUCAGCUCUGUUCCUUGUAGCACUAGAUGUCCUGGAUACAAUUUUUGACUUAGAGUCAAAGUUCCCUCAUUUGUGCUAUGGGGAUCUUGGCAUUAUACCUCCCUUAAAGACUGAAUGAGAUAAUGAGAGAUGCAUGGGAUGAGCUUAACAGAGUGCAUGGCACAGAGUAGGUAUUCUGUAUAUUUGAAAUAAAUAAACAAAGAAGAAAUACACAAGAGGAAAAGAAAGGAUUGAUUUUUAAAUAUGCAUGAUGUCCUUUGUAAAGUCAAGAUGUAUGAUAUCUAGGCUCGGUUUAGAAAGGCCAAAGCUUGUAUGUGAGACGAGCACUGCUGGUUCAUCUAAAAUGAGCCUCCUCCACCUCCCCUCCACCUCUGGGCAGAGUGGCAGUCAUGUGGUCCACAAAGCAUUUCAUGUGCAGACAUCAUCUUCAUUUAUAUUGCCUGCCUUGCAAAGGCCCGCAGGCCUGGGGAAAAUUUAUUAAAGUGGAGUCUGUUUAUUCAAUUUAUUAAACAGGAAUAUUUGAAGGGUUUUCAUUUAGAAGAGCAAGUUGAUUUAUUCUGUUUGGCUCCAGAAGGCAGGUCUAAGUCCAACAGGUAGAAGUUAUAGGAAGGCUGAUUUUAGCUCAACCUAAGAUAGAACAAAAGAUUUGUUGAGAGAGGAUUUGUUUGUUCAUUCAUUCACUCCAUCUAUUCAUCACUCAGGAGCCAGAGAAGAAAAAAACUGCCUUUGAUUUGGCUUUUGCUCUGGGACACUGUGGUCAGCUCACUCACAUAUUUUAACAUCAUGACAUUCUCUUUACUGUGUAAGGAGUCAUGUUAUCCCAUUAUAAAGAUUUCAAAAACUGAGGCUCAAAGAGGUUGUCACUUGCCCAAGUUGAACAACUGCCAGCCCAUAAUUGAGUAUGGCUUAAAUUCAACCCACUCUGUCCUCUGUCCACUAGUUCUGUUUCCACUUGACUGUGCUGCCUGCCAGAACAGAUAGAGGCUCAGAUCUGCAUGACCACCAGAAAAUGGAUGCAAGACUGAAAAAUCCAUCAACCCACCUUUCCCCCAUUGUUCUGUCCCUUUUCCCUUCCUCCUGUCUAUCUAUCCAUCACUACCAGCCCCAAACCAGCCCCAACAUGCUGCACAAAAGUAAACACCUCAUAGUUCUAACCAUCAGAUUAAACCACUUCUCAGAGUGUUCUGGGUGGGCACAGCUGCUGCAGAGGAGGCUCUAAGCAGAAUGGGAGAGGGAGAGAAAUACCCCAGCCUCUUUCCUUCCUGCCCCAUGACCUCCUGCCCAUGCUUCCCAUUGGCAGAACCUAGCUCAGAGCCAUAAGCCAAAGAAUCUCUCAAAGCUACCCAUAGGCAUCAGAAUCCUGGGUCACAAAACAGGGCAGAAAGGGUUGAAGAAUAGAAGAUGGAACAGAGACUUGAUAGAAAAUAACCAGCUCAUGAGGGGAGAUGGGGUGAGCAAUUGGGCAGGCUGAAUUAAGGGGAAAAGCCUGGAUCAAAUCAUGGCAGUCUCUGCUUCUCUGGGCUCAACUUUCAGGAAGGAAGGUCUUAGAGAAUUGUGCAAUGAUUUCAUCUUGAGGCAGCUGCCAUUCACACUGCAGUCUCAACCAGAUGCCAGGCUGGUUUCAGGGUGGCUGAAUCACUCACUCAUUAGAGGUUUACUGUGUGCCAUCCUUUAUUCUAAAUACUGAGACUACAAAGAUGAGAAAAGCAGGAUUCUUGUACAUCAGCUCAUCACAGGACACUAAGGGAUACAGAUCUGGGGAUUGGUUAUUUUAGGGUUUUAGGUGUAAGAGGAAAGUAUGAAGGCAGGUCUGUGAGAUUGCAGGUAGAGUAGGUAACCCUUCAUGAGAGAAUUUAGAAAAGGGGGCCUUGGGUCUUAAAGGAUGAAUUGAAGUUUUAGAGGGGCGGAAAAGGGCAUAACCAUUCCUGAAAGAUGGAAUAACAAAUGCCACAUUGUCUAAAGAUUAGAAAUAAGAGAUAGUGUGUUCAGGAGUUCCUGUUGUGGCAUAGCAGAAAUGAAUCUGGCUAGGAACCAUGAGGUUGCAGAUUUGAUCCCUGACCUCGCUCAGUGGGUUAAGGAUCUGGCUUUCCGUGAGCUGUGGUGUAGGUUGCAGAUGUGACUCGGAUCUGGGGUUGCUGUGUCUGUGGCAUAGGCCAGCAGCUGUAGUUCUGAUUCGACCCCUAGACUGGGAGCUCCAUAUGCUGUGGGUGUGGCCCUAAAAAGCAAAAAAAGAGAGAGAGUAUUCAGAAAACGCUAGAAAGUAAUUGUGGCUGGAGCAACUGGUUCAUGGCACUAGAGAUUCCUGGGAGGUCAAGCCUGGUCAAAUUCUUUCUUUUUCUUAUACAACAAGUCAGGAGAAAAUGUAUCCAAAAAGGUCAAGCACUACUGUUCCUGAGUUCCCGUCGUGGCGCAGUGGUUAACGAAUCCGACUAGGAACCAUGAGGUUGCGGGUUCGGUCCCUGCCCUUGCUCAGUGGGUUGAGGAUCCGGCGUUGCCGUGAGCUGUGGUGUAGGUUGCAGACGCGGCUCAGAUCCCACGUUGCUGUGGCUCUGGCGUAGGCCAGUGCCCUAACCUGGGAACCUCCGAUUGGACCCCUAGCCUGGGAAUCUCCAUAUGUUGUGGGAGCGGCCCAAGAAAG
rnacentral:lncRNA from 1 species